UACAGAGGGUGCGAGCGUUAAUCGGAAUUACUGGGCGUAAAGCGUGCGUAGACGGUAGCGUAAGUCAGAUGUGAAAGCCCCGGGCUCAACCUGGGAACUGCAUUUGAGACUGCUCUGCUCGGGUGCAGAAGAGGGAAGCGGAAUUUCCGGUGUAGCGGUGAAAUGCGUAGAUAUCGGAAGGAACACCAGUGGCGAAAGCGGCUUCCUGGUCCGACACCGACGUUCAGGCACGAAAGCGUGGGGAGCAAACAGG
rnacentral:rRNA from 1 species